GGAGAUUUGUACAUCCGGGAAAACUCCACCAUUCACAUCUUACAAAGUCUCAAAACAAACCGCCAUGCUUCACGUAACCACGUAAUAACUGAGACUCGGAUCUUUUGAUAAAUGGCAUUUCAAACUCAUUUACGUGACAUGCAAGCAAAAUCUGUCUGCCAGAAAUAUUUCCAUUCGGUUAGCUAACGUUAAAACAACAAGCCAGCAACUAAGAGGCAGAUUGCAGAAAAUGCUACCCGGUGUUUAUGGCGAGCUGAUAGGAAUAAAGGAGCGUCUCGUCUGGCCUUCUUCCAAGACCUCUGGUGGUGAAACAGCUGCGCACACAGAUGUACAGUAUCUUAUCAGGUGAAAUGUGCUCGCUGAACUGGAAGAAUAUGGACAGACUGAUUUUCCCAGCUCAAGGUCUGUUCGGGUUUUUUUUUUUUUUUUCUUUAGCAACGAUUGGUCGGCUCGGUGCGUGAGGAGGGGCUCGCUCUGCUGCUGUGUUUAAUUACCCUAUUAGUGUCUUGAGAAGAAGUUGUUAGACAAAUGCCUUGAAACGUAAAGACCGAGAGGUAGAAAAGGUUCUAUUUGGGCUAAAAUAUUCCAACAUUCAUUUGGUGGUUGAAGGUUUAGCGGUCACAGCAAAACAGCAGAACUGUUCCCCUGGAGAUGGAAUCUGAUUCGCUGCUGCCUUUUAAUAUUUUGGCUCCUCUAAAGCGAAGAGAGCUAGAGGGAAAUCUAACGGUGUGACUGAUAGAAUUAACCACAGGGAAUCUCCCUGGAAAACACUCGACUAAAUGACACCUCAGUCAUCAGUGACAGAGGAUGAUUAUACGAAGCGAGCAGGGGGAAGAGAUGCUCCGUCGAUCUAACAAUUUCAGGCUCGUAGAUGAGAAUUUUCUCUUAACACCAGAAAACAAACAACAGGGGAGUUUAAACAGUGGUCGGGCCGCAUGUUCGGUCUCUUUCUUGGUUGCAGGGGAGCUAUUUGACGCAAUUACUUCUUUUUCCGGUUGGGAUAAAUCCAAAGUGUUAUUAAGAUUUUUAUUUUUAAUACUAAUGACAUGCAGUUAUGAAUGCCAAUGUUGGUUUUUUUCAACAAUUACUCAGCUGAUUGCCAGGAAAUUUUGCUCCAAGGGAAUAAAUCUUUUUUUUUCUUGGACCAUAUUUUUAGCAACAUGUCGCUGCAUGUCAGAGUGCUGUUUGAGUGCGAAGGCGUAUUAGAGCCACAUUAAGAAAAAAAAAAUUAUUGUUCAUUUUGAGAAUAAAGUUGUAAUUCUAGACUAAAUGUGCAGAUUAAAGUUCUUUAAAGACAAACUCCCAGCGCUGCUGUACCUUAAUGAAACGAAUUGAUCUUGUGAUACAACAGAUGUCCUCAUUAUUGCACCGGGUGUAAUCUGUCCUUUAGCAGCCAUCUCAUUUUGUACACAUUCACUCUUCUGAGUUUUUCUCAACACAGAUUUUUAACUUUGAUCUUCAAAUUUCAACUUUAUUCUUAAAUGAUCAAGAAUCUAUUUUUUUUUUCUUGAUGUGACCUUAUAACUCCCGUAGGAGGUCGAGGGACCCAGAGAAGGACUUUGAAUCUUUGCAUCCAUCAUUAUCGUGGGGUUAUACUUUGCUGUACUUUAGUAGAAAUGAUGUGACUAAACCCUGACUCUACAACCCAGUAACAUCCUAUUAGUACAGAAGAGGACCACUGAAAAAAAAAAAAAACUCCUCUUCCAUACAUUCGUCUUCACUGGUUCACACUGACUUGCAGGUAUUGUCAUGCUAACACACUAUGUCCCCAGUCACACAGACAUCAGUGGACGACAUCGUUGCAGUCUCCAGAUGCAUGGAAAUGCAUAUCUUCUAAGGCCAAGUGGCGAGGUUGUUGACUCGUGCGAGGUGAAACUGGCCUCAAAGAUAAUGCUGCACUAAAAACCUCCUGGCGAUUGCUCAUAUUGCUAGCAGUUUGCUGUAGGCACCCAUAGUUUGCAAGUGCUUAGCAUUUACUCUCCCAAGCAGCAGUGGAACUUCAGAAAGUGUGAAACAAUCUGAAAACAGUUUGCACCUUACACCUGCAAUCAACAGAUUUAAAAAACAAAACAAAAACAAAAACACAAUUUUUGCCUUGCCAAUGAACAGUUUCCGGUUUGCGUGGUUGGUGAGUGGUUGCAGAAAAGUCAGUACUUUCUAUACCUGCUGCAACCUACCAGUGACCAAAGGAGUCACAAGGAUGCUUUCAGUGUAGUUACCGUGUGUCAUUUUAAACCAGAUUCACAUUAGCAUGUACUACUC
ensembl:lncRNA